CAGACAUCGGUUCGUGCCGGUAGCAUUCACCAUCUAAGCCAGUAACCUACAUUCCGGCAGCCGGCUCCUUAAUCUCCCACUGCCACACUGGACUGGGGAACCUUCCUGGUAUGAAUCUUUUACAUUCUCAUGUUGGCUAUUACUCAAAUGUGCAGUUAGCUUCUCAACCUUAAAAUUGAACUGAAUGUGUAACAGCGCACCCCAAAUUUGGUUAUUUUGGUUUAAUUUGCAAUCCGUGUGUAACCGGCAGAAUUACUGUCCUGUCUCCCAGCAGCCACCGUAGCUUCUGUCCAGGUGUGCCACGGCCCCAAGUAGCACUCAGUGGCUCUUCAUUCAUUAGCCAAAGUGCCACUACUACAGGCUCACCAGAACAACGGAGAGUCUUGCAACUGUCUACGGGACAGGUCGCUGGAUCUGACUCCUCCUCUUCGCGCACUGCAUGCCGUAUUAUGAGUGGUGACGUGCACCUCACCAUUUGCAUUGAUCCCUUUUUGCAGUGCCUGUGCUGUGUUGUGUGCAGGACGUGUGAGUAGGCACCAGAAUCAAGAGCACGGGUGGCGUGUCGGUCUCACUCCUUUUCCAGGACGGGUAACCCCCUGCAACAACUGCUCCCUAUAAACCCCAUCAGUGUCCCCUACCAUUCUGGUGGCAGCCAUUAUCCUCCCUCUUGCCGUAUUCCAUAUUUUAUUGUGAUUUAGCCAUGUUUAAAUAAAUAUAAAUUUUUCUAUUCUUA